GGGUAUCUGUCGUGCUCGAGUUCUGGUAUAUGGAUCCACACCUGAAUGAGAAAAAUAAGACUAAAUAAAUCAGUAACUCAAGACACUAUGCGACACCACAACACCUCUUGUUGGACACAUGCAAGACACGAUUGGGCUAUAUUUGGGAAUUAACCUCCAUAGCCAAAAUGUGGCUAAUCGCACAGACUCAAAAAAGAUGGCCUCAAAGACAUGGACAAACCUCCCUAAGGCUUAUAUGGUUCAAACUCCCAAUAAUCAUGGCCCAAAAUUAAUUUGUAGAAAUGAUCCAUUUUACAAAAAUGGCCGAUAUGGCCGAAGUAGCCAAAGAUGCAAACUCAAAAAGGACGGACCUUAAAGUAAUAUGACACCUAGUUGUGGACUUAAGAUCCUAAGACAUGGGUAAUUGGACCACUUUUGCGAAAAUGAUCCCAUUUUGCAAGAAUGGUCGAUGUGGCUGGACAUGUAAGAUUCGGCUAAGAACCCCCAAAGCCAAGAACCUAAGACUCACUAGGAAGACCGGACCGUAUGUGGGUUGCCUUCAUAUCUCGCCCCAAAAGACGAGAAUCAGGUUCGCGUAGUUGGGGAAGAUCGGACAUGGAAGAAAGCUUUAAAAAUGAAAUGCAACUAGUUUGAAAAAACUAUUUUUUUGUCUUUUUUAAAAAUGAUGAAAAAUGUAAAAUCUUUUUGGAUUUUCUUUUUUCUCCUUUUUUUGAAUUUUUGGAAAAUGAUGGGAAAGUGUAAAAUCUUUUUGAAUUUUUCAUUUUCAUUUUUUUUAUUUUUGGAAAAAUAUGAUAGAAAAAUGCGAGUGGGCCACUACUUGCUUCAUUUUAUAUUUCAUCCUCCAAUAUCGUUGGUCCACCAAAUGACUCUUUACCCCUAAAGAAAUGCAGCAUGUAGCACAUAAGGAUGAUUAAAUGUCUUUUUGGGCCAUAAGCCCAUUUUGACAUAAUUUGGAUAGGCCUCAUAUAACGGGACACGGUGCCUGGGACCGAACCCUACUAGGUUUAAAUGAUAUAAUGCAAAUAAGCAUGACCUAAAGGCUGACCUACGUUUGGAGUUCACUAGACAAGGCAGUUCGGGGCGGCACGUGGUUGAUGGCGGCUGCUCUAGUUGUCCGCCCACUCCACGCUCCCACACCACCCCUAAAGACACGGGUGACUCACAAAAAGGCCGUGUACGCUCAAACGUACUCCGGAAGACUUGUUGUAGAAAGAAGACUCGAGGUUAUGGAAAUGAUGACAAUUUAUAAAGCAGUAACACAUAAGGAAAAAACUAUAAACAAAUAAGCAACUAGCAAAUAAAACGACAUAAACAAAAUAAAAAUUAAAUAACGCAAACAAAACACAUAAAAACCUCAAACGAAAAUCCUAAAAAGCCAACAAGAUCAAGUACUAGCUCGAACCUGCUACUCCCCAGCAGAGUUGCCAGAGAUGUCAGACCUCUUUUUUAACAAACCUCACUAACCCGCUUAAAUAAAUAAAAAAAUUUGGGAAGCUCAAAAAGGUUUUCAAUUUUGAAAGUGACAAAAAGAUGUAUUUAAAAGGAUUAACUCAGAGUCGCCACCUGACUUUGAUUUCGGUGUGCCAGGUCACCGUUUUAAAAAUAAUUUUUCCUUUAAAAUACUUUGGACUCUAAAACUAAGUCUACACCAGAGAUUUUAGGUAAGGGGGUUCAUUUGACUCGGGGAGAAUGUGUUAGGCACUCCCCAAGUCCCGUAACUAGUACGGUUGCAUACUCGAUCUAGUUGGCUUUUAGAAUAUUCAAAUUGAGGUAAAAAUAACACAGAAAAGCAAAAUAAACACACACGAGGCUUGAGAUUGUCCCCACCUAAUAAAAGAGAAGUAAAAAUAAGAAUUCUACGAGUUCUACUAUCGACCUCCAAAUACAAAUACCUCGGGGCAUACACCGGAUAAAAUAUAUACAAGUCCUUCGGGCAUUCUCCGGAUAAAUUCAACUAAGGGAACGACCUCUCGCCUCAAAACUAACAAAAAUCCUAAGGCUUGCCUACCCAAGCGUGGUUGGCCUAAGCAUACCACUAGCGGGUCAAAGCAAUAAAAUGAAACUAGACAGAACAUUCAUGUCCUAAAUUUUCUUUCAAUUUAAGUGUCCAACCCCGCGAGUCAUUUGUAUUAAAACAAGAAUGUGAACUUAAUCCCAAAUUGUUUCAGAUUAAUUUAUACAAAAUUAACUUGACUAUAAUACCAAAAGAAGACAACACGUCAAUUUGAAGCAAAUUAAAUUUCUAGAGCUCUCAAGGUCAAAAAUCCUUUCCUGGUAUUCCUCUUAAUGAUGUUCGCUUCAAACGAGACUUAUGGACUUGUGCAAUAUUUGAGAUGACAUUUUUGGAAUAACAACAUAUUACAUCUUCAGACACAAAAUUAAGUGAAGCCAUCGCUUUAAGAUCUUACCAUAGGCUAUAGCGAUUAUGAGCAGACAAGCUAAGUUUCACUUAAUGGCCUCACGAUAUUCAAGUUACGAUCAAAACAACUCAGAACAUCAGCAAGAACAUAAGAGAAAAUAGCACCUCAAAUUCAUGUUUUGGUAAUAAAAUAAGAUAAAGAGCAAGGAUAUAAACCUGAAUGCAAGCGACUUUAGAUUUAAUAUGUUCAGGAACGAAUACAGGCAGACCGAUGUCGAAAUUUUAAAGUGCGACAGAAGAUGAACAAGAAAACAACAAUCGAAACCAGAACCGUGAACCUCGACUCUGAAUCACACUCGAAACCAACUCCGGACAGCAUCGAUUUCAAUAACCUUAGCUUGACUCCAUAGUUUAAAUUCUUCUCAUUCUCCUUACUGUUUUUCGGAGCUCAUGCUCUAUUUUUCGGAUCACAUGCUCUGAUUUUUGUCGCCUUUCUAGACCUUUUUCUGUUCUUAAUCCCUCCUCUAUAUAUGUAUGUUUGAGGCUGCUAGGAGAUAGGGCUGGGUGGGUGUUUUGUGAAGGUUGCUAAAUGGUGACGGGGCUGGUUGGUCGAAGAAGCAGCAGCUGGCAGUUUUGGGUGGUCCAGUGGCUGGUGGUUUGUGUGUGAGAUCAAGGUUGUGAGUUGAGCUGAAGGUUGCUAUGGUGUUUUGAAAUUAGGAAGAAGAAGAAGGGUCAGCGGCGUGUGUCUUGGAGAAGAAGAUGGCACAUCCCUUUUGUAUGUCUUGUGUCUACUCUUUUAGGUUCCCUUAGGUCUAAGUUUUUUGGGUUGCUCUCCGAUCAGGG
rnacentral:lncRNA from 1 species